rnacentral:rRNA from 1 species
AUUGAACGCUGGCGGCAUGCUUUACACAUGCAAGUCGGACGGCAGCACAGAGAAGCUUGCUUCUUGGGUGGCGAGUGGCGAACGGGUGAGUAAUAUAUCGGAACGUACCGAGUAAUGGGGGAUAACUAAUCGAAAGAUUAGCUAAUACCGCAUAUUCUCUGAGGAGGAAAGCAGGGGACCUUCGGGCCUUGCGUUAUUCGAGCGGCCGAUAUCUGAUUAGCUAGUUGGUGGGGUAAAGGUCUACCAAGGCGACGAUCAGUAGCGGGUCUGAAAGGAUGAUCCGCCACACUGGGACUGAGACACGGCCCAGACUCCUACGGGAGGCAGCAGUGGGGAAUUUUGGACAAUGGGCGCAAGCCUGAUCCAGCCAUGCCGCGUGUCUGAAGAAGGCCUUCGGGUUGUAAAGGACUUUUGUCAGGGAAGAAAAGGCUGUUGCUAAUACCGACAGCUGAUGACGGUACCUGAAGAAUAAGCACCGGCUAACUACGUG